UACGGGGGGGGCAAGCGUUGUUCGGAAUUACUGGGCGUAAAGGGCUCGUAGGUGGCCAACUAAGUCAGACGUGAAAUCCCUCGGCUUAACCGGGGAACUGCGUCUGAUACUGGAUGGCUUGAGUUUGGGAGAGGGACGCGGAAUUCCAGGUGUAGCGGUGAAAUGCGUAGAUAUCUGGAGGAACGCCGGCGGCGAAAGCGACUCUCUGGCCUGUAACUGACGCUGAGGCGCGAAAGCUAGGGGAGCAAACGGG
rnacentral:rRNA from 1 species